GGAGAGAUGGCCGAGUCCGGCUGAAGGCGCUCGCCUGGAAAGCGAGUAGACGGGCAAACCCCGUCUCGAGGGUUCGAAUCCCUCUCUCUCCG
rnacentral:tRNA from 1 species